ACUCCUACGGGAGGCAGCAGUGGGGAAUCUUGGACAAUGGGCGCAAGCCUGAUCCAGCCAUGCCGCGUGAGUGAUGAAGGCCCUAGGGUCGUAAAGCUCUUUCGCCAGGGAUGAUAAUGACAGUACCUGGUAAAGAAACCCCGGCUAACUCCGUGCCAGCAGCCGCGGUAAUACGGAGGGGGUUAGCGUUGUUCGGAAUUACUGGGCGUAAAGCGCACGUAGGCGGAUCGGAAAGUUGGGGGUGAAAUCCCGGGGGCUCAACCCCGGAACUGCCUCCAAAACUAUCGGUCUAGAGUUCGAGAGAGGUGAGUGGAAUUCCGAGUGUAGAGGUGAAAUUCGUAGAUAUUCGGAGGAACACCAGUGGCGAAGGCGGCUCACUGGCCUGUAA
rnacentral:rRNA from 1 species